rnacentral:rRNA from 1 species
CAGUAGCCGCGGUAAUACAGAGGGUGCAAGCGUUAAUCGGAAUUACUGGGCGUAAAGCGCGCGUAGGUGGUUUGUUAAGUUGGAUGUGAAAGCCCCGGGCUCAACCUGGGAACUGCAUCCAAAACUGGCAAGCUAGAGUACGGUAGAGGGUGGUGGAAUUUCCUGUGUAGCGGUGAAAUGCGUAGAUAUAGGAAGGAACACCAGUGGCGAAGGCGACCACCUGGACUGAUACUGACACUGAGGUGCGAAAGCGUGGGGAGCAAUCAGGAUUAGAUACCCCGUAGUCCCUGUCUCUUAUACC